ACGAUGUUCCGCUGCACGAGAUGCAAGAGCAUUUG
rfam:Bacillus sp. SA2-6 scf7180000001080, whole genome shotgun sequence.